GUUAUCUCCCGCCGAAGUGUCGCUUUAUCGGUAUCCAAACCUAAAAUCAGAAUGAAGAAACGAACACGUGUAAUGGUGUGCGGCACUGAACUGGACACCGCACCAAAUAUUCCCCACCUGCGGAAUCAUAUUCAUAAUCUUCUGUUGUGCUUUGCUUUUUCGUGCAGUAUCUCAGGAGAUGUUUAUGAAAUGUCUGGAUCGGAGUUUGGGCUAGAGUUUUGCCCGAUAUUUAUCUCCUCUCUAGUUUUUCCCUUUCACAGCUUGAUCUUAGAUUCGAAUUUAGCGUCAUCCAUCGGAAAUGACUGGAGUGUAUGCAUCUCCUCGAAGCACUGCUUAUCUCGACGCUCUCUCUGAAGCGAUCCACAAGAAGCUCCAGCGGGCGCUCGCUAGUUCGUUACAGAGGCGCAAUUUGUUGCGGGAGCUAUUUGCAGACAUCGCUUUAGAAGUUGAUGACCGAGCCAAAGAUAUAAUUUUCAGCAGGGAAGAAGAGAUAAUCUCUUCUGCAGAUGAUGGUACCAAUGGUUUAUUAUGUUUCUAUGAUGUGCUUGCUGAUUAUUUUGUUCGGGUGCCUGAACAUGGAGAGCCUAUCCUUGACUUGAUUGUCCAACUGUGGAGCCAAUCGUUUGCUUCAAACAUUUUUGCCCUCCUAUUCCACAAAGGGUUAUUUGAAGUUGAACUUGAUAAUCCAGAUGUGCUUCUCCGUUAUUCAUCUGCUCUGGUUGAAGGUGCAAGAAAUGUUUUCUGGAUUGACAUCCAAACAAACACGAGGCUUUUCCAGUCCCUCUUUCAUUAUCUUCUGGAUGAUGUUGCGCUAAACCAUACUCGAUUGAAUAAAAUUCCCGUGCAGGCUCAGCGAGAUAUGUAUCUUUUGCUUUCAAGGUUUCUUCCAUUUUAUAACUCAGCUGACAGAAUAGAAAGCUUCUUGAAACAUUGUCCCGCUUUCCCAAAUGUGUUCUUCGUAGGUGGCCCAUCAGAUAUAUUUGUUACUGAACUUACUGAUCAGCUUCUGAAGUUGAAGGUUGAACCGGUGCUGCUCUACUACCUUUCACAAAUCACAAUACUUCAGGGUAUGGAAUUGAGAAUGACUACGAGUACGAGAUUGAAGAGUUGUCUGUACAGUUUCACAUGUCCUGGGGGUCCCAUGUAUCCCACAAGAGCUGUUCGCCAUGCAGCUUGGCAGGCUUUAGAUUUGCUUUUCCCUGUUGGGCGAUAUCCUCGGCACCUCAUUAGCCUGUUCUUCAGAUUGCUUUAUCCGUGGUAUUGGCCCUCCUCCUGCUGGAACUUUGUAAUUUCUUGCGUGAAGGCAAUCUUUUGCUCCUCGCUGAGAUUGAUAUUUUCUAGUUGGGAAAAGGUGGUGGGGCCCACGUGAAUUUUUUCUCUCCAGGUCAUAGUCGGCGUAGAACAGCGAAGCAUCGUCCCCUACACCGGCAAGAUCUUCCUCAUCAUCAUCUUGCUUUUGCCCAUUAUUAUUCUGAAGCCACGUCUCUCUCUCUCUCUUUAACCGCCACCACAACUGUUUCUUCUUCUUCAAAGAAAUCUCCCUCCUGCAGUUGCGGUUCCACGCCACCAUGAUUCAUCUCUCAAUCACAAACAAAAUCACACAACUUCGACUGGUUCUUCGUUCCUAUGCUUCAUGUGGGUUUUUAAGCGAGGGAAACUGGAUAAUAAAAGGGAAACAAGAGAGAUUCUUUCUUUUUUAAAAAAACAAAAAUUACAUGUACGGAUAAGUGAAAGGGAGAUAGAGAUCUUCCUCCUCGGUUUGUGUUGGAUUAAGGAAGCAAAGGAGAUAGGGUCUUGCCUUUGAAAUCAAAUCUGAAGGAGAGAAGCACCAUAUAGCAUCUGGUUCUAUCAAAUAUCAUAAUAACCACAAUAUCCACAAACAUAAUAACCACAAUAUCCACAAACAAAUCAACCAAACAUUAUGGAUAACAAGAACAAUAGAAUCUCUUAUCUUUUUGAACUAAGAAAAUGGCUUCUCUGUCCCCUCAAAUCUUACAGACUUUUUUUUUUGGGAGUAUUUUAAUAUUGCAGAUGGCGACUUAAACAAAUCUGGACGCAAUACUUAAUAGUUUGAUCAAGAAGAAGGAGAUUAGCAAGGUGAAAUUUCAUUCAUGGCAGAGGAAGACAAAGAGAGCUGGAGAUUCUUUCGUCUUUCUUAGAAAAUUGAAGCCAAUCAAUCGAG